rnacentral:tRNA from 1 species
GGUUUAAUAGUCAAAUAUGAUUUUGGAUUGCAAAUCUAAAGGUGAACUUUUAAGUUUUUAAGCCU